rnacentral:tRNA from 1 species
AGCUUUAUAGUCAAAAAUGAUGUCAAAUUGCAAGUUUGACGGUGGAAAUAUCCUAAGGCUU